AUUCUAGAGAGAAAAUAUUCCUAAUGGAGAUAACCAGCUUUUUCCAGAAAUUCUGGUUUUCUGGGAGCCUAUUCAUCACCUUGAAGAAGUAUGAUGGUUGGAUUUAAUCCAUUCGUGGAAAUGGGGAAAUGGUCCAUGGGAAACCUUGAGCAUUUAAUGAGCUCUAAAGAAAUUAAGAAGUUUCUUUAAAGAAGCAAAUAAAUGGACUAAGAGCCAAUAUAGAACAACUAAAAGAGACAAAAACUGGAAGAACAAGAAAAGUAAAGCAACAUGAUGAAGAGCACUUGGACUUAUUUUAUUUUAUCACCUAAACAAAACUCUAAAUGGUGCUUGGCUGACAAUAUCAGCUUUCCUUUAGAACCAAAUAGAUUCAGAAUAAUUUUGGAAGCAGAUUAUUGAGGCUAGCUCUCGUCUCCACUCCACUAAUACAAGAGAAAAGAAGUGUAGCAGAGAAGAUACAGGGAUGAAACCAAUUAGAAAGUAACACCAAAAGCCUAACCCUGUUGACAAGUAGAAGGAGUUGGACAUGAUCUGUGAAGAAUUGGGUGUGUCCUUUUUCAGAAGGGAGAGGAAAAAUCCUUUUUUGCAUGCUUUGCCCACUGAAGAUACAUUUGUUCCAUAUAUAAAAUCUACAUGAGAUUGUCAGUGCAUUUAAUUUUAUCUCCAUUUUGCUAUUGAAGAAUCUAAUAUUCUUAAGGAAUUAGUGAUGUUGGAGGCAGCUGGUCUUCUGACUUGGAACCAAUAUUGAUUCUAAGGCUUAAAAGGUAAGGGUUUAAAAAAAGAGAGAGAGAAUGAGUGAUGUUCUCGUGGUGACAAAAUUAAAAAUGUCCAAGGAAUGGUUCAAACAAUUGUCUACUACUUUCAAGUUCAAGUCUUAGCCUGAAGAAUAAGACAAUAAUGAGAACAAGUAUAAACAAAGAAAGCUGCAGACUAAAAACUGAAAAUUCAAUUGUGUAUAUCCAUUAUUUUCUUUCAUAUGGGAAAAUAGUGUCAGAUGGAAGGUCAAAAUAAUAAACAAAUUGUGAUGAAAUAAUAUAAGAAAUGA
rnacentral:lncRNA from 1 species